CUGUGUGUCAGGGUCUGGCAGCAGCAGGCCUCUGUGUGAAUCAGGGAUCUAUCUCUGGCUGUGUGUCAGGGUCUGGCAGCAGCAGGCCUCUGUGUGAAUCAGGGAUCUAUCUCUGGCUGUGUGUCAGGGUCUGGCAGCAGCAGGCCUCUGUGUGAAUCAGGGAUCUAUCUCUGGCUGUGUGUCAGGGUCUGGCAGCAGCAGGCCUCUGUGUGAAUCAGGGAUCUAUCUCUGGCUGUGUGUCAGGGUCUGGCAGCAGCAGGCCUCUGUGUGAAUCAGGGAUCUAUCUCUGGCUGUGUGUCAGGGUCUGGCAGCAGCAGGCCUCUGUGUGAAUCAGGGAUCUAUCUCUGGCUGUGUGUCAGGGUCUGGCAGCAGCAGGCCUCUGUGUGAAUCAGGGAUCUAUCUCUGGCUGUGUGUCAGGGUCUGGCAGCAGCAGGCCUCUGUGUGAAUCAGGGAUCUAUCUCUGGCUGUGUGUCAGGGUCUGGCAGCAGCAGGCCUCUGUGUGAAUCAGGGAUCUAUCUCUGGCUGUGUGUCAGGGUCUGGCAGCAGCAGGC